rnacentral:rRNA from 1 species
GUGGGGAAUUUUGGACAAUGGGCGAAAGCCUGAUCCAGCAAUGCCGCGUGUGUGAAGAAGGCCUUCGGGUUGUAAAGCACUUUUGGCAGGGAAGAAACAGUGCGUGCUAAUACCAUGCGCGAAUGACGGUACCUGCAGAAUAAGCACCGACUAACUACGUGCCAGCAGCCGCGGUAAUACGUAGGGUGCAAGCGUUAAUCGGAAUUACUGGGCGUAAAGCGUGCGCAGGCGGCUUUGUAAGACGGAUGUGAAAGCCCCGGGCUCAACCUGGGAAGUGUAUUCGUGACUGCAAGGCUAGAGUGUGUCAGAGGGAGGUGGAAUUCCGCGUGUAGCAGUGAAAUGCGUAGAGAUGCGGAGGAACACCGAUGGCGAAGGCAGCCUCCUGGGAUAACACUGACGCUCAGGCACGAAAGCGUGGGGAGCAAACAGGAUUAGAAACCCUAGUAGUCC